UACGAAGGGGGCUAGCGUUGUUCGGAAUUACUGGGCGUAAAGCGCGCGCAGGCGGCUCUUCAAGUCAGGGGUGAAAGCCCAGAGCUCAACUCUGGAACUGCCUUUGAGACUGAAGAGCUUGAGUGCGGGAGAGGUGAGUGGAAUUCCCAGUGUAGAGGUGAAAUUCGUAGAUAUUGGGAAGAACACCGGUGGCGAAGGCGGCUCACUGGCCCGUUACUGACGCUCAGGCGCGACAGCGUGGGGAUCAAACAGG
rnacentral:rRNA from 1 species